GAGUCGAUUGACUCCGGGUGAGCAGCCUGGAAUAUAUACAAAAGGGCAGAGCACCUUUUAUUUCGUGAAAGCAGAUUACAGCAGUUAUCACAUGGUUCUCGUUGACACAUCAGUAAUGAAGGCCCUUCAUCUUUUCACUAGGGAACCAGAACCAUCAGCUGACAUAAUAGACAUAUACAAGGCUGUCGCCGAAUCUCUGGAUUUGCCAACGGACAAGAUUAUCUAUCUACACAGAUCUGGUAAGAGCAGUUGUCAUCUAUUAUUUCU